CGCUACAAACGGAACCCAAUACAAUAGUCGUGCGUUUGUUUGUUGUUGUUCUUUACAUUUUUGAGACAGAUAUUCCUCAUAAUUUGAACUAAUCAGACGGGAACCAGCUCUAAAUCACCUACGACGGUCGGAGAGUGGAGGCGGAUGGAGGAACGUCAGCAGAGCAACGAUCACCAGCCUCAGAAACCGGACCAAACCAGAUACGACACGCGGUAAAAGCGCCGGGAGCGCCGCGUCUGCAGGAUGUGGCAGCUGCUCGACACUUCCCCUUCUCUGAGGAAUCCCACGUUCGCGCCUUUUUACGACGCCCAGUUUGCCACUUGGUGUCGGAACCGAAGGUUCAAAGAGGCGACUCGUUUAGUACCCCCCCCCCACCAAUGAGAAGUUCAUAAGAAAACCCAGACAGAAGGCGUCUGACCUCUGACUUCUCCAUGCGGUUCUGCAGCUCCACCUGGGCUACGAUCUCGUUCAUGUUGGUCUCCAGCACCA